UUUUUAUUUUGUUUUUUUGUUUGUUUGGGGAUUGUAGGUAUGAAACCACAGUGGAAAGCGAUAGAUUUCAAGUGGAUAAUGGAGAACAAGGAUGUUGUUGCUUGGUAUUGCAGCCUAGUUUCAUUGAAUUUGGGUGAUAUCUGGUAGGGCUUGAAAGGAGUUCUGUUUGUCAUUGGUGGCUGGAUAAUAUAGGAAAGGCUUUUGAAGAAGGAAAAACUUAUGAAUGUAUGGGUUCUAGGCAGCUAGCAGGCUUGUUCAUAACUCUUUGGUAAGUGAUUAUCGUGAAGUAAACUCUAGGAAUUAGACUUUCACCUAAUAUAAUAAGCCUACAGUUCGUUGGCAAGUUUUCAUAACCUUACUGAUCAUGUCCUCAUAUUUUACGCUACUUUUUUACUUAACUAUCAGUUCCAUGCAGCUUUGUCGUGCCAUUGGUAACAAGGUUAGUAUAUCUACAUUCAUACUGCUCACUGUUGAAUAUAUAGUAGUUAGCAAUUUGUACCUGUUUAUAUUUGCCAUUCCAUAAGCGAGCUUAAUGCAUUAAGU